rnacentral:siRNA from 1 species
CAAACAAAGGCGCAUACGAUG